GACGAACGCUGGCGGCGUGCUUAACACAUGCAAGUCGAACGGAAAGGCCCUGCUUUUGUGGGGUGCUCGAGUGGCGAACGGGUGAGUAACACGUGGGUAACCUGCCCUUGACUUUGGGAUAACUUCAGGAAACUGGGGCUAAUACCGGAUAGGAGCUCCUGCUGCAUGGUGGGGGUUGGAAAGUUUCGGCGGUUGGGGAUGGACUCGCGGCUUAUCAGCUUGUUGGUGGGGUAGUGGCUUACCAAGGCUUUGACGGGUAGCCGGCCUGAGAGGGUGACCGGCCACAUUGGGGCUGAGAUACGGCCCAGACUCCUACGGGAGGCAGCAGUGGGGAAUAUUGAACAAUGGGCGGAAGCCUGAUGCAGCAACGCCGCGUGCGGGAUGACGGCCUUCGGGUUGUAAACCGCUUUCGCCUGUGACGAAGCGUGAGUGACGGUAAUGGGUAAAGAAGCACCGGCUAACUACGUG
rnacentral:rRNA from 1 species